AGUGAACGCUGGCGGUAGGCCUAACACAUGCAAGUCGAACGGCAGCACAGUAAGAGCUUGCUCUUACGGGUGGCGAGUGGCGGACGGGUGAGGAAUACAUCGGAAUCUACUUUUUCGUGGGGGAUAACGUAGGGAAACUUACGCUAAUACCGCAUACGACCUACGGGUGAAAGUAGGGGAUCUUCGGACCUUGCGCGAUUGAAUGAGCCGAUGUCGGAUUAGCUAGUUGGCGGGGUAAAGGCCCACCAAGGCGACGAUCCGUAGCUGGUCUGAGAGGAUGAUCAGCCACACUGGAACUGAGACACGGUCCAGACUCCUACGGGAGGCAGCAGUGGGGAAUAGUGGACAAUGGGCGCAAGCCUGAUCCAGCCAUACCACGUGGGUGAAGAAGGCCUUCGGGUUGUAAAGCCCUUUUGUUGGGAAAGAAAAGCAGCAGGUUAAUACCCCGCUGUUCUGACGGUACCCAAAGAAUAAGCACCGGCUAACUUCGUG
rnacentral:rRNA from 1 species